UGGGGAAUAUUGCACAAUGGGCGCAAGCCUGAUGCAGCCAUGCCGCGUGUAUGAAGAAGGCCUUCGGGUUGUAAUGCACUUUCAGCGGGGAGGAAGGCGUUAAGGUUAAUAACCUUGGCGAUUGACGUUACCCGCAGAAGAAGCACCGGCUAACUCCGUGCCAGCAGCCGCGGUAAUACGGAGGGUGCAAGCGUUAAUCGGAAUUACUGGGCGUAAAGCGCACGCAGGCGGUCUGUCAAGUCGGAUGUGAAAUCCCCGGGCUCAACCUGGGAACUGCAUUCGAAACUGGCAGGCUAGAGUCUUGUAGAGGGGGGUAGAAUUCCAGGUGUAGCGGUGAAAUGCGUAGAGAUCUGGAGGAAUACCGGUGGCGAAGGCGGCCCCCUGGACAAAGACUGACGCUCAGGUGCGAAAGCGUGGGGAGCAAACAGG
rnacentral:rRNA from 1 species